GGCCCGCUGGCUCAAUGGUAGACCUACGAUUGGUACAUCAGGAGGCUCCAGGUUCGAGACCAAUGUGGGUCA